CAGGGAGACAACAAAAUGUUUAAUAUUAUUUUGUCACCUUAGGUCGAUCGGUAUCUCACGUUUUUAAUUUAUUAAGAAUUUCAUUUCCUAAGUUUUUCUAGGUCACACCCAUUAUUUUUCCUGGGCCAUUAGCUCAGGUGGUUAGAGCGCACCCCUGAUAAGGGUGAGGUCCCUGGUUCAAGUCCAGGAUGGCCCAUAUCUCUACGUUGGGGGUAUAGCUCAGUUGGUAGAGCGCCUGCUUUGCAAGCAGGAUGUCAGCGGUUCGAGUCCGCUUACCUCCACUGAUCACCACCUCUUCCAUAAUCGGUAGAAAGGAAAUUUUUUGAGUUGUGAUCAAAUUCUGAAAGAAUCUAGCUUCCUAAUGAAAUCAUUAAGAUGCUGGACUCAUUGAAUUAAUUUCAUUGUUUUCAGAGAACCUUGACAACUGCAUAGAUUAUUUUUAAAGACAAUAAGCAUCUUUAAUGAUGCAGAUUUAUUAUUUGUGCUAAUGCAUUAAUAACAAUUCUAUUAAGCUGAUGCUUCAAUUUUUGAAGUUAUU
rnacentral:tRNA from 1 species